CUUGAGUCUGGGCUGUCUGCUCAUCCACAAUGGGGGCAUGGUCUUCUGUUGAUGUUUGGUCAACGAUGACAGAUGACGAUGGUGAAAAGCAUGUUGCUUGAAUAUUUUCAACAGGACUUCCCUCUACACAAAGAACAGUUUGUUAUAACUUACGUGGAGGAGUAGUGGGCAUCUCUCCACUUCCGAAGGCUGCUACUGGUGGGAUCCGAAUCCGAGUUACUAACACUGUUAAAUAUAGAAUAAAAUCAGCACAAGCCAAGGUACUUACCAGAACUAGGCUGAGGCGUGCUUGGGGCUGAUCGCCCUGCAGAGUGUUUUCGGUGAUCUGGAAAACAUCAAGGAUAAGAGACAGG